rnacentral:rRNA from 1 species
UACGUAGGGUGCAAGCGUUGUCCGGAAUUAUUGGGCGUAAAGAGCUCGUAGGCGGUUUGUCGCGUCUGCUGUGAAAAUCCAGGGCUUAACCCUGGACCUGCAGUGGGUACGGGCAGACUAGAGUUCGGUAGGGGAGAUCGGAAUUCCUGGUGUAGCGGUGAAAUGCGCAGAUAUCAGGAGGAACACCGGUGGCGAAGGCGGAUCUCUGGGCCGUAACUGACGCUGAGGAGCGAAAGCAUGGGGAGCGAACAGG